UACGGGAAGGGCAAGCGUUGAUCCGGCGUGACUGGGCGUAAAGAGUCCGUAGACGGUAAAGUAAGUUUAUUGUUAAAUUUUAAAACUUAAUUUUAAUAUGGACAAUAAGUACUGCUUUACUUUGAGUUUAGUAUAGAAAAGUGAGAAUUUUAUAUGGUAGGGUGAAAUCCGUAGAUAUAUAAAGGAAUGCCAAUAGCGAAGGCAACUUUUUGGUAUAAACUG
rnacentral:rRNA from 1 species